CCCUUAGAUGUCCUGGGCCGCACGCGCGCUACACUGACAUGUUCAACAAGUUUCUCCUAGUUCGACAGGACUGGGAAAUCUUUGAACGCAUGUCGUGAUAGGGAUAGAUCAUUGCAAUUAUUGAUCUUGAACGAGGAAUUCCUAGUAAACGCGAGUCAUCAGCUCGCAUUGAUUACGUCCCUGCCCUUUGUACACACCGCCCGUCGCACCUACCGAUUGAAUGUUUCGGUGAAGAUUCCGGAUAGGACUGAUUUGAUUUAUCUCAUUUCUGACCUAAAAGCUAUCUAAACCUCAACAUUUAGAGGAAGGUGAAGUCGUAACA
rnacentral:rRNA from 1 species